rnacentral:tRNA from 1 species
GAUGUAGUUCAGUGGUAGAGUAUAUGUUUAGUAUGUUUAAGGCCCUUGGUUCAAUCCCUAGGAAUAUCC